rnacentral:rRNA from 1 species
GAUGAACGCUGGCGGCGUGCUUAACACAUGCAAGUCGAACGAUGAAGCUCAGCUUGCUGGGUGGAUUAGUGGCGAACGGGUGAGUAACACGUGAGUAACCUGCCCUUAACUCUGGGAUAAGCCUGGGAAACUAGGUCUAAUACCGGAUAGGAGCGCCUACCGCAUGGUGGGUGUUGGAAAGAUUUAUCGGUUUUGGAUGGACUCGCGGCCUAUCAGCUUGUUGGUGAGGUAAUGGCUCACCAAGGCGACGACGGGUAGCCGGCCUGAGAGGGUGACCGGCCACACUGGGGCUGAGACACGGCCCAGACUCCUACGGGAGGCAGCAGUGGGGAAUAUUGCACAAUGGGCGAAAGCCUGAUGCAGCGACGCCGCGUGAGGGAUGACGGCCUUCGGGUUGUAAACCUCUUUCAGUAGGGAAGAAGCGAAAGUGACGGUACCUGCAGAAGAAGCACCGGCUAACUACGUG